rnacentral:piRNA from 1 species
UGGGAUCUGCCUGGGCUUUUUCAGUCUU